UACGGAGGGUGCAAGCGUUGUUCGGAAUCACUGGGCGUAAAGGGCGUGUAGGCGGUCCGCUAAGUCUGAUGUGAAAGCCCGAGGCUUACCCUCGGAAGUGCAUUGGAGACUGGCGGACUGGAGUCCCGGAGAGGAGGGUGGAAUUCCUGGUGUAGCGGUGAAAUGCGCAGAUAUCAGGAAGAACACCAAUGGCGAAGGCAGCUCUCUGGGACGGUACUGACGCUGAGACGCGAAAGCGUGGGGAGCGAACAGG
rnacentral:rRNA from 1 species